ensembl:misc_RNA Y_RNA Y RNA
GGCUGAUCUGAGUGCAGUGGUGUUUACAACUAAUUGAUCACAACCAGUUACAGAUUCUUUUGUUCCUUUUCAACUCCUACUGUUUCACUUGACCAGCCUAUA